rnacentral:misc_RNA from 1 species
AACCAUAGAAACCUGCGGAGUACCUGCGGAAGGAUCAUUACAGAGUUGCAAAACUCCCUAAACCAUUGUGAACGUUACCUAAACCGUUGCUUCGGCGGGCGGCCCGGGUCCUUCCCGGCGCCCAUCGGCCCUCGCGGGCGCCCGCCGGAGGUAAACCAAACUAUUGCAUUGUAUGGCCUCUCCGAGUCUUCUGUACUGAAUAAGUCAAAACUUUCAACAAUGGAUCUCAGAUCGGAAGAG